UCAAAUCAGCUGCUCUACUGAUACUACCUGUUCAAUGUGUCUUGGCUUAUACUAUCAAAAAGUAUCAAAAUGGCGUUUGCGUUCAAUAAUAAGCGUUUUCGUCUUUGAGAGCGAAUGCUGUCAUAUUCCGCGAUAUUUAAUUACUUGCUUCCUCUUUAAAGCAAAUUAUCGUAACUUUAGAAUAAUGACUGUCACAAAUUUCGCGGUUAAAGGGUAAGACGCCACUACAAAUUGAAAAUAAAGCCUUAAUCUUUGGACUUAGCACCGGAAUCCCGUAUUUUUAGGGAGUCGAAAUUUUUUUUGCAUUUAAAAGUUUUCAAUGGAAUAUAUG